rnacentral:rRNA from 1 species
CCUACGUGAGGCAGCAGUGAGGAAUAUUGGUCAAUGGGCGCGAGCCUGAACCAGCCAAGUAGCGUGAAGGAUGACUGCCCUACGGGUUGUAAACUUCUUUUAUAAAGGAAUAAAGUGAGGCACGUGUGCCUUUUUGUAUGUACUUUAUGAAUAAGGAUCGGCUAACUCCGUGCCAGCAGCCGCGGUAAUACGGAGGAUCCGAGCGUUAUCCGGAUUUAUUGGGUUUAAAGGGAGCGUAGAUGGGUUGUUAAGUCAGUUGUGAAAGUUUGCGGCUCAACCGUAAAAUUGCAAUUGAUACUGGCAGUCUUGAGUACAGUUGAGGUAGGCGGAAUUCGUGGUGUAGCGGUGAAAUGCUUAGAUAUCACGCAGAACUCCGAUUGCGAAGGCAGCUUACUAAACUGCCACUGACAUUGAUGCUCGAAAGUGUGGGUAUCAAACAGGAUUAGAUACCCUUGUAGUC